GGGAAACUGGGAAUAAUGCCUUAUAAGAUACGUUUGUCGCAUGGCAUUUGUAUUAAACGCUCCGGCGCCAUAGGAUGGACCCGCGUCCCAUUAGCUAGUUGGUGAGAUAACAGCUCACCAAGGCCACGAUGGGUAACCGGUCUGAGAGGGCGAACGGUCACACUGGAACUGAGACACGGUCCAGACUCCUACGGGAGGCAGCAGUGGGGAAUAUUGCGCAAUGGGGGCAACCCUGACGCAGCAAUACCGCGUGAGUGAAGAAGGUUUUCGGAUCGUAAAGCUCUGUUAUUGGGGAAGAAAAAAAGACGGUACCCAAGAAGAAAGUUCCGGCUAACUACGUGCCAGCAGCCGCGGUAAUACGUAGGGAACAAGCGUUGUCCGGAUUUACUGGGCGUAAAGGGCACGCAGGCGGUUUUUUAAGUCAGAUGUGAAAGGCCACAGCUCAACUGUGGACAUGCAUUUGAAACUGAAAGACUUGAGUAUUGGAGAGGCAAGUGGAAUUCCUAGUGUAGCGGUGAAAUGCGUAGAUAUUAGGAGGAACACCGGUGGCGAAGGCGGCUUGCUGGACAAAUACUGACG
rnacentral:rRNA from 1 species